rnacentral:lncRNA from 1 species
NNNNNNNNNNNNNCCAUCCCCUCUGUCACCCCAGGGUGGUGUUACCCCCCAGCGUCACCCCCUCGGUCACCCUGUGAUGUUGUCACCCCCUCUGAGUCCCCCCGUGCCACCUUCUCUGUCCCCCCCAGGGUGGUGUGCCCCACAGCGUCACCCCAGGGCGUUGUCACCCCGUGGUGUCACCUGUCCUGGGUCCCCUGUGCUGCCCCUUUGGUCACCCUGGGGUGUUGUCACCCCAUGGCAUCACCCCCCGGGUACCCCCUGCGCCAUCCAUUCGGUCACAUCGGGGUGGUGUCACCCCAUGGUGUCACCAUGUCCCCUGUGCCACCACCUCUGUCACCCCAGGGUGUUGUCAGCCCAUGGCGUCACCCCUCAGGUACCCCCGUGCCCCCUGCUCCGUUCUCCCAGGGUGUUGUCACCCCACGUGGUCCCCCCGGGGUGUCGUCCUCCCUUGGGGUCACCCCAGGGCCGUCACCCUGCCGGGGCUGCGCUCCUGCCUUGCCGUCACCCGCUGCGGGACUGUGACGCUGUUGCGUGUCCCCUAGGGCGUCACCCCUGGGGUACCCCGUCCCCCCGUGACCCCGCGUCCCCUGGGGGUGUUGCCCCUGGGGAGCCCCAUCCCCUGCGCUGUCCCCCCCCUGCCCUCCGGGCUGUCACCCCCCCUGCCCCACGUCCCCUGGGGCUGUCACCCCCCGGAGCACCACGUCCCCUGGGUUAUUGUCCCCUGUGGGUGUCACCCCCGGUGCGUCCUGUUCCCUGGGUUAUUGUCCCCUGGGGGUGUCACCCCUUGGCACCCCACGUCCCCUGGGGGUGUCACCCCCUGCCCCACAUUCCCUGCGCAUGUCAUCCCCGGUGCGUCCUGUCCCCUGGGUCAUCGUCCCCUGGGGGUGUCACCCUGUGGCACCCCAUGUCCCCCGGGGUUGUCACCGCCUGGUGUGCAACAUCUCCUGGGUCCCCCCUCCGCCCCCAGGGUGUCACCCCCCCUGCCCCACGUCCCCUGCGGGUGUCACCCCCUGGGGUGUCCUGUCCCCUGGGUCAUCGUCACCCCCCGGGGUGUCACCCCCCCUGCCCCACGACCCCUGCGGGUGUCACUCCUUGGUGUGUCCUGUCCCCUGGGUCAUUGUCCCCCCCCGGGGUGUCACCCCCUGAUGCCCCACGUCCCCUGGGGCACCGGGUCACCCCCUGCCCCACGUCCCCUGCAGGUGUCACCCCCUGGG